GACGAACCGCCCGAACGUUGUUCGGAAUCACUGGGCUUAAAGGGAGCGUAGGCGGGCUGCCAAGUCCGGGGUGAAAUCCUCCAGCUUAACUGGAGAACUGCCUCGGAUACUGGAAGUCUCGAGGAGGGUAGGGGCAAGUGGAACCGUGGGUGGAGCGGUGAAAUGCGUUGAUAUCCAUGGGAACUCCGGUGGCGAAGGCGAGUCUCUGGACAUUUCCUGACGCUGAGGCACGAAAGCCAGGGGAGCAAACGGG
rnacentral:rRNA from 1 species